GAUAAACGCUGGCGGCGUGCCUUACCAAUGCGAGUCGAACGAGGUCAGACUUCGGUCUGGUUGAGUGGCGUCCGGGUGCGUGACACGUCGGUGACCUACCCAUUUGUGGGGAAUACCCUGCCGAAAGGUGGGCUAAUACCGCAUACGAUCCCUUCGUCGCAGAAGGGAUGAAAGCUCGCAAGGGCGCUGAUGGAGGGGCCGGCGGCCUAUCAGCUAGUUGGUGGGGUAAAGGCCUACCAAGGCAACGACG
rnacentral:rRNA from 1 species